GUGGGAGGGGGCUUGCCCCCGAUGGCGGUGUGCCAGCCGACGUCAUUAUUGGCUGUAAAACAGCUAUCGGGGGCAAGCCCCCUCCCAC
rnacentral:misc_RNA from 1 species